GUUGGGUGUGGUGGUGCACGCCUGUAAUCCACACAAUCUGGGAGGCUGAGGCAGGAGGAUGGCAAGUUUGAGGCCAUCCUCAGCAAUUUACAGAGUUCCUAAGCAACUUAGUGAGACCCUGUCUCAA
rnacentral:sRNA from 1 species